rnacentral:lncRNA from 1 species
CGGUUCAUCUGUUAAUGCUUUACCUCUGAUCCAAUCAAAGAAAUGGUGUUGAAAUGGAGCUGUAUCCUUCCUUGCUCAAAAAGUGUACCGUGAACUGGUUCUAGUUGCUGGAUCAAUUUGUAAGGUUACUGAAUUUCGGCGAACAGGCACGUGAGAAACCCGAGACCCUCCGUGUCGUUCCAGCUGGCGCCGAGGGUGACUACCACCGCCAGCCAAAAAGCCCCGACUCCUCUCGCCGCCACCGUUGCCGUUGCUGCCACCGCCAGCGGCGGCCAAAAGAUAGCUCCAAGCGGCGCUUGUCGUUCCCCCUUCCAACUACCUCUGUUUCACCCUCUCGUUUCUUCCUUGUCUUCCUUGAGGCCAACGAUGGAGCAAACCAGAGGGCCGGCCACCGGACAUAGCAGCUGCUCCCCUGCAAAUGACACAUCCGGCCUGGAGAGGCUUGCUAGAGGCCUGAUCUAGUGCCAAAGCACCUUGAUCUAGCUGCUCUCCAUUGAUGUUGGGUCAGGCCUGUAGAUCCAGCGCGGGCACCGCUUGCUCGCCUGCAGAUCUAGCACGGGCACGCGGUGACUGGGCACCGUAGGUUGAGGUCGGCGCACACCUCAGGUGGGCGAUGCCCCGAACAGCGAGGGGUAAGCCGACCGCGGCCUUUGGAGGACUAGUCCGUCCCGGAUCUGGAAAAUCCCGGUGGGGAAGCUUGGGGCUCCCUGGGCGUUCCUCUCUCGGAGUUCGCGGACUAGGCUAACGCCAGUCGACACCGUGUUGUGGCUUCCGUUGUGCUCGAUGCAGGUGGAUCCACCGGUGCUCCUUACCGUGCAUUGCCUGGGCCUAGGACUGGGCUGGGGUGGCGCGUGGCGGCGGCGGCCGGCUGCUGUCUACAUAUGUGCGCCAGUGGUGUGAGUCGUCGGUGAAAGCCUGGUUUCCUACCUGCGAUAACGAUGACGCCUGCAAGCGCCGUUCUCCUCCAUGGAGGCGUUGUCUUGCGACUCCUAUACCAUCUCCACCGCCGGUGCCGUUCACAGAUGUGGUGGAGGCUGUUGUGCAGCGAAAGCUUCGCGCUCGGAGCGCGAGGGUGUCUCACCUUUGCACAAUCAGUUGUGAUCCUUGGCUGUUCGAUGCCUCCUAUCAUCUUCAUCUCUUUAUUGUCGUUAUACUUCUUGCACUUAUUGACAUUGGUUGUUGGCUAUCGUCGUGGUUCGGCGAGUGUCCCCCAUUUGGCGCCUCUACUCCAUCGGUGCUCUUCUUGUUGAUGGUGCCAUCACAUUUUAUGCCAGAUGGUGUUUCCACCUCUUCCACCAUUCUCCUUUGAGGCUUCCUCCCCUCGAAUGGCGUUGGAUGAUGGUAUAUGGAGCUCGGAUGUCCUUCUAAAGGUGUUACCAUUAGCUUCAAGGAAGAUCGUUGUGUCUAGUAGGCUCUGGUUUGCGCACCUCUCACCACCUUUAUUCACCCUUCGUUGAUGGUUCCUCAUAUGGAGGGCAAUAACGAAGCGGCGCAGCUAUGAGGGUUGGUGUGGUUGUGAAAUGGUUAAGAUAUAUUGGCGAGUAUGUUGUUCAAUGGUGGUUCUAAUCGGCGAACAGUGAUUGUUCUUCGACUUGUGUUUGAAUUGUAUACGUGUUGUAUUUCUCUUUCUUUGUGGUGUCUAGGUGUACUCUUCUUAUUUUUUAUUUUGUUGUUGAAGAUCUUGUACUGUUUUGGUUUGCUCAAGACCUUUAAAUGAAAUUCAGGUGGAUUCUCUCCCCUCGGUGACCGUAAAAAAAAAGUCACUGAAUUUCCAUCUGAA